UCGGCAUCCUCGUACAAUCGCCUUCCGGGUGCCUUGAUGAUUCGGGAGCCCCAAGCGACAUGUUUCGCAUUGAGGUCCCCAACCACCAAGGCCGGAUGGCGAUCAUGGUUCAAGGCCCGUCU